rnacentral:rRNA from 1 species
GAUGAACGCUGGCGGCGUGCCUAAUACAUGCAAGUCGAGCGAAUGGAUUAAGAGCUUGCUCUUAUGAAGUUAGCGGCGGACGGGUGAGUAACACGUGGGUAACCUGCCCAUAAGACUGGGAUAACUCCGGGAAACCGGGGCUAAUACCGGAUAACAUUUUGAACCGCAUGGUUCGAAAUUGAAAGGCGGCUUCGGCUGUCACUUAUGGAUGGACCCGCGUCGCAUUAGCUAGUUGGUGAGGUAACGGCUCACCAAGGCAACGAUGCGUAGCCGACCGGGGAGGGUGAUCGGCCCCACUGGGACUGAGAAACGGCCCAGACUCCUACGGGAGGCAGCAGUAGGGAAUCUUCCGCAAUGGACGAAAGUCUGACGGAGCAACGCCGCGUGAGUGAUGAAGGCUUUCGGGUCGUAAAACUCUGUUGUUAGGGAAGAACAAGUGCUAGUUGAAUAAGCUGGCACCUUGACGGUACCUAACCAGAAAGCCACGGCUAACUACGUGCCAGCAGCCGCCGUAA